rnacentral:rRNA from 1 species
AUUGAACGCUGGCGGAAUGCUUUACACAUGCAAGUCGAACGGCAGCACGGACUUCGGUCUGUUGGCGAGUGGCGAACGGGUGAGUAAUGUAUCGGAACGUGCCCAGUCGUGGGGGAUAACGUAGUGAAAAUUACGCUAAUACCGCAUACGAUCUAUGGAUGAAAGCGGGGGAUCGCAAGACCUCGCGCGAUUGGAGCGGCCGAUAUCAGAUUAGGUAGUUGGUGGGGUAAAGGCCCACCAAGCCAACGAUGUGUAGCUGGUCUGAGAGGACGACCAGCCACACUGGAACUGAGACACGGGCCAGAUUCCGACGGGAGGCAGCAGUGGGGAAUUUUGGAGAGUGGGCGAAAGCGUGAUCCAGCCAUUCCGCGUGCAGGAUGAAGGCCCUCGGGUUGUAAACUGCUUUGGUACAGAACGAAAAGGUUUCUACUAAUACUGGGAGCUCAUGACGGUACUGUAAGAAUAAGCACCGGCUAACUACGUGCCAGCCGCCGCCGUAA